GAACGCGGCAGCAGCAGUCGGCUCAGCUCUCCAUUUCAGUCCGGUCUGUUGUGUUCAUCGCCCCGCUGCCACUCUGACCUUUUUACAACCGUUCCUAAAAAAAAAUGGGAACGUUUUGAUUUAACCCCCGGCAUCGGCGAUACACACAGCUCUUCACUCAUCAUUUGGACCUAGAAUAUAUUAAUCCAUACCGCUGCUGGGCUUCUCUGUGCCGAAGACAAGAAACGGUGAAGAGACUACAUGUCCCAGAAAACCCUGUGAGAGCCAGCUACUUCUUGUCUGUGUCUCCUCUCUCCCUCCGUCCGGUUGGUUGGAUGAGUCCCAAACAGCGACAGAACUGUGAGCAGUGAUUGGGCGCUGAGCCAGACCGGGUAGCCAACGGGGAGCCAGGCUAGCCAUCAUGGCAGACGUGGACCCAGACACGCUGCUGGAGUGGCUGCAGAUGGGACAGGGAGAUGAGCGCGACAUGCAGCUCAUCGCUCUGGAGCAGCUCUGCAUGCUGCUGCUCAUGUCUGACAACGUGGACCGCUGCUUCGAGACGUGAGUUUUUCAGUUAAUCG